AUUAUACUCCCUCCGUCCGGAAAUACUUGUCGUGAAAAUGAGUAAAAAUGAAUGCAUCUAAAACUAAAAUACGACUAGAUAUAUCCAUUCCUCCGAGAAGUAUUUCCGAACGGAGAGAGUAUUUG
rfam:Triticum aestivum genome assembly, contig: Triticum_aestivum_CS42_TGACv1_scaffold_223607_3B